GUGCACCAGGCGCGAAACCUCCGCAAUACACGAAAGUGUGACGGGGCCAUCCCGAGUGCCGUCCGCUGAGGACGGCUUUUCCCCAGUGUACAUAGCUGGGGGAAUAAGGAGAGGGCAAGCCUGGUGUCAGCCGCCGCGGUAAUACCAGCUCUCCGAGUGGUGGGGACGCUUAUUGGGCCUAAAGCAUCCGUAGCCGGCUGGGCAAGCCCUCCGUUAAAUCCAACGAUUCAAUCGUUGGGCUGCGGGGGAUACUGUCCAGCUUGGGGGCGGGAGAGGCCGACGGUAUUCCCGGGGUAGGGGUGAAAUCCUAUAAUCCCCGGGAGGACCACCAGUGGCGAAGGCUGUCGGCUAGAACGCGCCCGACGGUGAGGGAUGAAAGCUGGGGGGAGCGAACCGGAUUAGAUACCCC
rnacentral:rRNA from 1 species